GGUGAGUAACGCGUGAGUAACCUGCCUUACACAAGGGGAUAGCCGUUGGAAACGACGAAUAAUACCCUAUGAAACUAUCACUUCGCAUGAAGCGAUAGUCAAAGUGUUAGCGGUGUAAGAUGGACUGCGUCUGAUUAGCUAGUUGGUGAGAAAAAGCCCACCAAGGCAACGAUCAGUAGCCGGCUUGAGAGAGUGUACGGCCACAUUGGGACUGAGACACGGCCCAG
rnacentral:rRNA from 1 species